AACGAACGCUGGCGGCGUGGAUAAGACAUGCAAGUCGAACGCUGAUUUGAGGGUAGCAAUAUUCUCAAGUCGGAGUGGCGCAAGGGUGCGUAACACGUGGGCAAUUUGCCAAGAAGUUUGGGAUAACUCGCUGAAAGGCGAGCUAAUACCGGAUGUGAUGUUUGGGAGGCAUCUCUUGAACCUUAAAGUUGGGGACCGUAAGGCCUGACGCUUCUUGAUAAGCCCGCGGCCUAUCAGCUAGUUGGUGAGGUAACGGCUCACCAAGGCUAAGACGGGUAGCUGGUCUGAGAGGACCGACCAGCCACACGUGGGACU
rnacentral:rRNA from 1 species